rnacentral:rRNA from 1 species
UGGGGAAUAUUGGGCAAUGGGCGCAAGCCUGACCCAGCAACGCCGCGUGAAGGAAGAAGGCUUUCGGGUUGUAAACUUCUUUUAAGAGGGAAGAGCAGAAGACGGUACCUCUAGAAUAAGCCACGGCUAACUACGUGCCAGCAGCCGCGGUAAUACGUAGGUGGCAAGCGUUGUCCGGAUUUACUGGGUGUAAAGGGCGUGCAGCUGGGUCUGCAAGUCAGAUGUGAAAUCCAUGGGCUCAACCCAUGAACUGCAUUUGAAACUGUAGAUCUUGAGUGUCGGAGGGGCAAUCGGAAUUCCUAGUGUAGCGGUGAAAUGCGUAGAUAUUAGGAGGAACACCAGUGGCGAAGGCGGAUUGCUGGACGAUAACUGACGGUGAGGCGCGAAAGUGUGGGGAGCAAACAGGAUUAGAUACCCUGGUAGUCCACACUGUAAACGAUGAAUACUAGGUGUGCGGGGACUGACCCCCUGCGUGCCGCAGUAAACACAAUAAGUAUUCCACCUGGGGAGUACGAUCGCAAGGUUGAAACUCAAAGGAAUUGACGGGGGCCCGCACAAGCGGUGGAUUAUGUGGUUUAAUUCGAAGCAACGCGAAGAACCUUACCAGGGUUUGACAUCCUGCUAACGAAGUAGAGAUACAUUAGGUGCCCUUCGGGGAAAGCAGAGACAGGUGGUGCAUGGUUGUCGUCAGCUCGUGUCGUGAGAUGUUGGGUUAAGUCCCGCAACGAGCGCAACCCUUACGUUUAGUUGCUACGCAAGAGCACUCUGAACGGACUGCCGUUGACAAAACGGAGGAAGGCGGGGACGACGUCAAAUCAUCAUGCCCCUUACGUUCUGGGCUACACACGUACUACAAUGGCGUCUAACAGAGGGGAGCGAAGGAGCGAUCCGGAGCAAAUCCCAAAAAGACGUCCCAGUUCAGACUGCAGGCUGCAACCCGCCUGCACGAAGUCGGAAUUGCUAGUAAUCGCAGGUCAGCAUACUGCGGUGAAUACGUUCCC